AUUGAACGCUGGCGGCAGGCUUAACACAUGCAAGUCGAGCGAGCGGCGGACGGGUGAGUAAUGUCUGGGAAACUGCCUGAUGGAGGGGGAUAACUACUGGAAACGGUAGCUAAUACCGCAUACCAUCAGAUGUGCCCAGAUGGGAUUAGCUAGUAGGUGGGGUAAUGGCUCACCUAGGCAACGAUCCCUAGCGGGUCUGAGAGGAUGACCAGCCACACGGAAACGGAGACACGGUCCAGACUCCACGGGGAGGCAGCGGUGGGGAAUAUGGCACAAGGGGGGCAAGCCUGAUGCAGCCAUGCCGCGUGUUGGAAGAAGGCCUUCGGGUUGUAAAGCACUUUCGGCGAGGAGGCGUUACCCGCAGAAGAAGCACCGGCUAACUCCGUGCCAGCAGCCGCGGUAAUUC
rnacentral:rRNA from 1 species